AUGUCCUCCCUGUACAAGCAGCUGGGCCUGGGCGCCGCCGGCUCGCCGCUCACGGCCUCCCACCUCCUCAUGCUCGUCCUCGGCGCCGGCUUCCUCGCCUUCACCGUCUUCGUCGUCCACCCCAACGACUUCCGCCUCCAGUCCUUCUUCUCCGGCGGCUGCCCCGGCUCCCCGCCCCACGACGCCGUCCUCUUGCCGGUCAAGCACGCCGACGCCACCACGCCGGCCAAGGCGCCGGUCGAGCACCCCGGCGUGCGCGUGCUGAUCGGCAUCCAGACGAUGCCGGGCAAGUACGAGCGGCGGCACCUGCUGCGGACCGUCUACGCGCUGCAGCUGCAGGAGCACCCCGCCCUCGCCGGCGCCGUGGACGUGCGCUUCGUCUUCUGCAACGUCACCUCCGCCGUCGACGCCGUGCUGGUGGCCCUGGAGAUCAUGCGCUACGGCGACAUCAUCGUGCUGAACUGCGCCGAGAACAUGGACGGCGGCAAGACGUACGACUUCUUCGCCACCGCCGCGCGCGCCUUCCCCGACGGCGCCUACGACUACGUGAUGAAGGCUGACGACGACACGUACCUGCGGCUCCCGGCGCUGGCGGCGUGGAUGGCCGGCGCGGCGCGGGAGGACGCGUACCUGGGCCUGCAGAUGCCCUGCGACCGCGAGAACUUCUACCCGUUCCCGCCCUUCAUGUCCGGCAUGGGGUACGCGCUGUCGUGGGACCUGGUGCGCUGGGUGGCGCGGUCGGAGGUCAGCCGCCGCGACCGCGUCGGGCCGGAGGACAUGUGGACGGGGCGGUGGCUCAACGUCGCCGGCAAGGCCAAGAACCGGUACGACGGCGCCCCCAGGAUGUACAACUACCUGGGGAGCUCCCCGGCCAACUGCUUCCGGCGCGGCUUCCGCCCGGACACCAUCGCCGUGCACAUGCUCAAGGACGCCGGCCGGUGGGCGGAGACGCUCGCCUACUUCAACGCCACCGCCGCGCUGCCGCCGUCCGGCCUCUACCACCUGCCUUGA
rnacentral:rRNA from 1 species